rnacentral:lncRNA from 10 species
CUGGAACCGUGGAUGAAAACCCGUGUGUGUGGGAUGCGGAUACACUUACACACAUGUAAAAUAGUAUUGGGGGUGCUGUGUGGGCGAGAUGGGAGCCGGGGUCAUGGUCCUUUGCCUGCAUACUUCUCCUUGGCUGCGGAACUUGGAACGUGUCUCAGGGAUCCCAGGAGGUGCAGGUGUUCUACCUCUGAGUUUGCCCUGCUCCCUGGGUGAGUGCCAAGCCCCUGUGAGAUCACCUGGGCUAACUUCUGCUUUUAUAAACCUCAGGUGUGGCUGGGGACGGGAUGUCACAGGCACCCCAUCUCCCCAUCGGGCCACAGGAGGCUUGGCCUCUGUCCCUGCCGGGAGGGCCGGGCAGAAGACGGGCGACCCACACAGCUGGCACGUUGUGAGGGCUUGGAUGGAGUCCUGAGGCUGAGGGAGAUGGAGCAGUCUCUGCGGAGGAAGUAGGCAGCGAGGUCAGCCAGCUUCAAGUGCGGGACCGCUGAGACCCUGUGCAUCCUCGUCAGGAACGGGGACCAGGAGCAGCAGCGUCGGGUCGGCUCGGAGUGAUGGAGUGUGUGGUUGUAGUUACGCAUCAAGAUGGUGCUCAUGUGGACCAGUGGUGACGCCUUCAAGACGGCCUACUUCCUGCUGAAGGGUGCCCCUCUGCAGUUCUCCGUGUGCGGCCUGCUGCAGGUGCUGGUGGACCUGGCCAUCCUGGGGCAGGCCUACGCCUUCGCCCGCCACCCCCAGAAGCCGGCGCCCCACGCCGUGCACCCCACUGGCACCAAGGCCCUCUGACAGUGGGGAGGACGAGGAUGUGGGACCGCCAGCCGCGGGCACUGGUGGGCCCUGACCUCCCCGCGGGGAGGGUGGGUGCUGU